rnacentral:ribozyme from 15 species
UCAAAGGAGAGGCACAAAAGAAGCAUUAAAAAAUCAAGAAAUCCUUCAGUCACUUUAGCUAUUCUGGUUACCUUAAUCCUUCUUUUUAUUCCUUUUCCAGCAUAUUGUAAUGAAAUCGAGACAUUUACUUGUGAAAAGAAUGCUGAUGACACGAGUGACUGCAA